rnacentral:rRNA from 1 species
AGAGUUUGAUCAUGGCUCAGGAUGAACGCUAGCGGCAGGCCUAACACAUGCAAGUCGAGGGGUAAGGCUCUUUCGGGAGUACACGACCGGCGCACGGGUGAGUAACGCGUUUGCAACCUACCUCUAACUGGGGCAUAGCCCGGAGAAAUUCGGAUUAAUACCCCAUAACAUUAUGAAGAGACAUCUCUUUAUAAUUAAAGCUCCGGCGGUUAGAGAUGGGCAUGCGUGUCAUUAGCUUGUUGGUGAGGUAACGGCUCACCAAGGCAACGAUGACUAGGGGGUCUGAGAGGAUGAUCCCCCACACUGGUACUGAGACACGGACCAGACUCCUACGGGAGGCAGCAGUGAGGAAUAUUGGGCAAUGGACGCAAGUCUGACCCAGCCAUGCCGCGUGCAGGAUGAAUGCCCUAUGGGUUGUAAACUGCUUUUUUACGGGAAGAACUAUUCCUACGUGUAGGGAUUUGACGGUACCGUAAGAAUAAGCAUCGGCUAACUCCGUGCCAGCAGCCGCGGUAAUACGGAGGAUGCAAGCGUUAUCCGGAUUUAUUGGGUUUAAAGGGUGCGUAGGCGGAAUAUUAAGUCAGUGGUGAAAUCCUGCAGCUUAACUGUAGAACUGCCAUUGAUACUGGUAUUCUUGAAUGUAGUUGAGGUGGGCGGAAUGUGUAAUGUAGCGGUGAAAUGCUUAGAUAUUACACAGAACACCGAUUGCGAAGGCAGCUCACUAAACUAUAAUUGACGCUGAGGCACGAAAGCGUGGGGAGCAAACAGGAUUAGAUACCCUAGUAGUCC